GCCAGACUCCUACGGGAGGCAGCAGUGGGGGAUAUUGCACAAUGGGGGAAACCCUGAUGCAGCGACGCCGCGUGGGUGAAGAAGCGCCUCGGCGCGUAAAGCCCUUUCAGCAGGGAAGAAAAUGACGGUACCCGAAGAAGAAGCCCCGGCUAACUACGUGCCAGCAGCCGCGGUAAUACGUAGGGGGCGAGCGUUAUCCGGAUUUACUGGGUGUAAAGGGGGCGCAGACGGCGAUGCAAGCCAGGAGUGAAAGCUCGGGGCCCAACCCCGGGACUGCUCUUGGAACGGCGUGGCUGGAGUACAGGAGGGGCAGGCGGAAUUCCUAGUGGAGCGGUGAAAUUCGUAGAUAUUAGGAGGAACACCGGUGGCGAAGGCGGCCUGAUGGACUGUGACUGACGUUGAGGCCCGAAGGCGUGGGGAGCAAACAGGAUUAGAUACCCCCGUAAC
rnacentral:rRNA from 1 species